UUUCAUUUCCCUAAAGCCUGGAAUUUUUCUCAUUAAAUAAAUGUCCGAAACAGUCCCCGGAAAAUUUUGGCCAGAAACUUUUUUGCACUUUGGUAGUUUUGGAGUCCUUCACCAAAACUUAAAUAAAACGAAAUCUGUAACUCUGAUUAAUGAUCCGUCAAUUUUGUUGGAUUCGUAUCUUUCCGAAAUACAGUUUUCAUAUAUCACAAUCCAUAUUUGGAUAUGUUUAGCUCCCGGAAUUUAACCCGGAAGUGACUGCUACAAACUGUCCUUCUAACAGUUUUUCUUAUCUUUGAGUAGUUUGGUAGAAAUCCCAUAACUUGCUCCUCCGAUGUCGGAUUUAGUCCGUUUCGGAGUCUAUGGAAAGCUUAUUGAGUGUACUAUAACAUAUCACAAGUCCAGAAUUUUUAGAGCACCCUAACAAAUCCGAAAUUUUCUGUUUAGGGCAGCAGUCCACUAAUUCAUUUAAAACAAAAAAACUGUUUUGGUUCAUCUUCUUUGUUCAAGCUUAUCAACCCUAAAAAUGGCAAGAUCUAACCAUAAAAUAUC
rnacentral:lncRNA from 1 species